AGAACGAACGCUGGCGGCAUGCCUAACACAUGCAAGUCGAACGUGAUCCAGGCUUCGGCCUGGUGAAAGUGGCAGACGGGUGAGUAACGCGUGGGAACCUGCCCUGUGGUAGGGAAUAACCGUGGGAAACUGCGGCUAAUACCCUAUGAGUCCUUCGGGAGAAAGAUUUAUCGCCAUAGGAGGGGCCCGCGUCGGAUUAGGUAGUUGGUGGGGUAACGGCCUACCAAGCCUUCGAUCCGUAGCUGGUCUGAGAGGAUGAUCAGCCACACUGGGACUGAGAUACGGCCCAGACUCCUACGGGAGGCAGCAGUGGGGAAUAUUGGACAAUGGGGGCAACCCUGAUCCAGCAAUGCCGCGUGGAUGAUGAAGGCCUUCGGGUUGUAAAGUCCUUUCGGCGGGGAAGAUGAUGACGGUACCGCAGAAGAAGCCACGGCUAACUUCGUGCCAGCAGCCGC
rnacentral:rRNA from 1 species